GGAAAAUAAGAAAUAAAACCCCCAAAUGAAUUUGCUCUUUCCUCUUCCCGCUUCCUCCUCUUAAAACCCUAACUCCUCUCCUCCAACAAAACCACCUGUAGUCGGCGGCGCCUCUCCCAACCACCACUCCUCUGCCGCUGCUAUUCUCGGUGUUGACGACAGUAUUACAAAAAUGGAAGCUGUGCAAACAAAUUCUGGGCGCCAACCAUUUUCUAUUAAAUUGUGGCCUCCUAGCAAGAACACUAGGAUCAUGCUUGUUGAACGGAUGACCAGCAAUCUUUCAACUCCAACAAUUUUCACUCAGAAGUAUGGUAGUUUGAGCAAGGAAGAGGCGGACGAGAAUGCUAAGCAAAUUGAGGAGUUGGCAUUUGCUGCUGCAAAUCAAUUCUAUGAAAAGGAGCCAGAUGGUGAUGGAAGCUCUGCAGUCCAGCUUUAUGCCAAGGAAUGUAGUAAACUUAUUCUAGAAGCCCUAAAAUGUGGACCUGUAACUAAAGUUAGGAAAGUGCCAGAGACUUCUGAGGCAGUCCUCGAAAGUUUGUUUGAUAUAUCAAAAGGUCCGCGAGCCUUCAUUGAGGCUGAAGAGGCUGAAGAACUUUUGGCACCAUUAAAGAAUCUAUCAAACAAUUACACUAAGAUAUGUUUCAGCAACAGAAGCUUUGGCUUAGGUGCAGCUCAUAUAGCAGAGCCCAUUUUGGCAUCUAUUAAGGACAAGUUGAAGGAAGUGGAUCUGUCUGAUUUUAUUGCUGGUAGACCAGAAGCAGAAGCCCUUGAAGUCAUGAACAUGUUCUCGGCCGCCCUUGAAGAUUCUGUUUUGAAGUCUCUUGAUCUCUCUAAUAAUGCCUUGGGUGAGAAGGGCGUUCGAGCAUUUGGAACACUCUUGAAAUCACAGAGGAGCUUGGAGGAGCUUUAUUUAAUGAAUGAUGGCAUCUCAGAGGAUGCAGCACGUGCUGUUUGUGAGUUGGUUCCCUCCACGGAGAAUCUUAGGGUUCUUCAUUUUCACAAUAACAUGACAGGAGAUGAAGGUGCUCUUGCUAUAUCCGAGGUUGUAAAGCGUUCUCCCUUGCUGGAGGACUUUAGGUGCUCCUCAACAAGGGUAGGUUCCGAAGGAGGGGUUGCCUUAUGUGAAGCUUUAGAGGGAUGUGUUAAUUUGAAGAAACUUGACUUGCGUGACAACAUGUUUGGCGUAGAAGCAGGAGUUGCUUUGAGUAAAGCUCUUUUGAAGUAUGGGAAUCUAACGGAGAUUUAUUUGAGUUACUUGAACUUGGAAGAUGAGGGGACUAUUGCCAUAGCAAAUGCGCUCAAGGAGUCUGCUCCUUUGCUUGAAGUGCUUGAGUUGGCUGGAAAUGAUGUUACACCUCUUGCUGUGUCCUCCUUGGCUGAAUGUUUAGCAUCCAUGCCGCACCUCUCGAAGCUGAAUUUGGCUGAAAAUGAGCUCAAGGAUGAAGGAGUUAUUCAAAUUAGCAAGGCUCUUGAAGGUCAUUCUCAGUUAAAGGAACUUGAUUUGAAUACAAAUGCGAUAACUAGGGUUGGUGCUAGAGUUUUGGCUAAGUUGGCAGUGGCUAAGCCCGGCUUCCAAUUGCUGAACAUUGAUGGGAAUUACAUCUCUGAUGAAGGAAUUGAUGAUGUUAAUGAAAUUUUCAAGAAGUCUCCUGAAAAGUUAGGGUCAUUAGAGGACAAUGACCCAGAAGGUGGAGAUGAGGAUGAAAAGGAAUCUGACCAGGAGGGUGAUGGAGAGGAAUGUGAACUGGAAUCUAAAAUGAAGAAUCUUGAUGUUGAAGAUGAGGAGGAAUAAGUGCAUUUAUGGUUGGUGGUGUUUUGUAGGAUCGGUAGCUCGUUUUUAGUUGUCCUCUUUUAUCUCGGACAUCUCUUUGGGUUGAUAGCUUCUUAGAGCGCACUUGGCAGCCAUGGCUUUUCCUGGGAGCCACUUCUAGGUUUAGAAGGCCCUCGGCCCUCCCUGUUUUAUGGACGUCUCUUUCCUAUAUUUGCUCUUACGUUUUUAAAAACUGAUUUGGACUCGGGUGGUGUGUGUGGAUUGACCAAUUUUGGAUGUUAUCUAUUCAGCUGUUUUGAGGUGGUUGAUGAUUCCAUUAAAGGUGAAAAAGCAAUGUUAGAUCAGCUAUACUGAUAGCCUGAGACCGAUCAAUGAAAGGUACUAUGAACUGGGACCUGAUGAUCCACCAUUUUUAUGACUGUUUUGGUGCUGAGAAUCCCGACUCUCCCGGCUGUAGUUGCGGGUUCUCGUAUCUGUUAUGACGAUGAAUGAUUUUACAUUGAAAACUUUCAAAUUAUUAGAUGGGAAAAAUGAAAGAUCUAUAGUGGGAAAGAAGUAGCCAGCUGAUGCAGAGUGAUGCUAGUUCAUCGUCGAAUUCAACAUCGAAUCGUUGCAACAAUAUGCGUUCACUUGUGUUUGCUUUGUGUUUAUCUGUUAGCUGAUGCAGAGUGAUGCUACCCUGUAAUGUUUGUAUAUCAGUUGUAAGAUUGGAGUUUAGAUUUUGUGUCACAUUUGGCAUCUUUGGUGUUCUUUACGGAAGAGUUCCUUGCCCCAAGAGUCCACACCCUUUCUUGGCUUUGUUUAUACCGGAUUGUAGAAUAUGGUUGAUAUCCAUUCACCCUUGAACUCUAUUUCAAAAUUACUCCAUCCAUCCCAUA